GGAUUAGAGGAAAGGGUAGGGGAGCCAUCUCAACAUUUAUCAAGAUUUUGCUUAGAACACAGACCUCCAUAAAGAGUAUUGAUGACUUCCCUGUAUAUCAUUUGCUGUGCCUGGCGCUGGGGCUGGCACAUAGUACACGGCCUCUCCUCAUCCUUAUUUACUACUAGAAGCAGAGAAGGAUUGAGUCGAACCCUAAGGAUGGUCCCUCCAUUAUCCAGAC